rfam:Myotis brandtii contig298508, whole genome shotgun sequence.
UUCUCAGGCUGAUGGAGUGGUGACGGAGUGGAUUGACAACUGUAGUUUCUCCACUCAGUGCAGAAUGGCUGCAGGGAACAAAUGCAGACAUGCCCAGAGAAGUCUGCCCAGGGUGAAACAGAUAUCUUUGAGGU